UACGUAGGGUGCGAGCGUUGUCCGGAAUUACUGGGCGUAAAGAGCUCGUAGGUGGUUUGUCGCGUUGUUCGUGAAAACUCACAACUCAAUUGUGGGCGUGCGGGCGAUACGGGCAGACUGGAGUACUGCAGGGGAGACUGGAAUUCCUGGUGUAGCGGUGGAAUGCGCAGAUAUCAGGAGGAACACCGGUGGCGAAGGCGGCGACCUGGGUCGACACUGACGCUGGAGGCGCGAAAGCGUGGGGAGCAAACGGG
rnacentral:rRNA from 1 species